GAUGAAGAACGCAGCGAAAUGCGAUACUUGGUGUGGAUUGCAGAAUCCCGUGAACCAUCGAGUCUUUGAACGCAAGUUGCGCCUCAAGCCAUUAGGUUGAGGGCACGUCUGCCUGGGCGUCACAUAUCGUUGCCUGAUGCCAGUUUCCUCGUGAUGGGUGACUGUGCAGGGCGAAUGAUGGCUUCCCGUGAGCAUUGUUGCCUCAUGGUUGGUUGAAAAUUGAGUCCUUGGUAGGGAGCGCCGUGAUAGAUGGUGGUUGAGUGACGAACGAGACCCAAUCAUGUGAGACCCCUACCGAAUUUGGCCUUCAUGACCCACAUGCGUCUUUGGAACGCUCAUGACGAGACCUCAGGUCAGGCGGGGCUACCCGCUGAGUUUAAGCAUAUCAAUAAGCGGAGGA
rnacentral:misc_RNA from 1 species